AUGGUGUGCGCAAUCUGCCAUUCGCAUUGUGAGAGUGACAUUGAGCAGACUUUUCGCAUUGUCAUCCGUGAUGACUACGAAGCUUUAGCGAACAUCCCAUGCACUGCAAGGAAUAGGUUUAACCAGAUUUCUGGGUUGAACUUUAAGGCGGACGGUCGCAGGUACGUUGUUGAUGUGUACAGGGGACACAAAACCACACUGAUCGGAGGUGAUGAUUGGGCCAAGUUCAAGCAUGACUUCGACGUGGGGCAGGGCAAUGUAGUUGUUUUUGACAUGACUGGACGAACAGCAAAGGCAUAUGUGGCUGGAGUCGAGGCUGAAGAACAGGGAGGAGCUGCUGAAGAAGUUGUUGCAGUUGAUGAAGAGGAAGAGGUGGUCAAUGAUGAUCACGGGCUUGAAGAUGCACUAGCGUUUGUGAACACCAGGGGUUUUGUCUUUGAGGAUGGUGAAUACGCAAUGAUGGAGCUCAUACUCACUAUCCAACAUUUAUACAUUGGCCCACCUUUUGUGCAUCGUCUGACGCCCACGAUCAUUGCAGGCAAGCUGAUGAAAAUCCCCAAGAAGGUAGCUCAACCACUGAACUUGGACACAGAAGGUGUUCUUGGCCUUUGCAUGGGUGUGGGAGAUGUUAUGCAGGUUGCGUACCACACGGACCGUGACGGACGGAUCGUUUUCAACCAAGCCUGGGGUGUUUUUGUAGCCCAGAACCACCUCCAAGUGAAUGAUGCUGUUGUGUUUAACUUUAGGGAGAUCAAUGAAGAACAUAUCAACCUAGUAUGCGUUGUCAACGCUUUGAGGCCUGCAGAACCAUAA
rnacentral:rRNA from 1 species